UACGAAGGGUGCAAGCGUUAAUCGGAAUUACUGGGCGUAAAGGGCGCGUAGGCGGCCUUCUAAGUCAGACGUGAAAUCCCUCGGCUCAACCGGGGAACUGCGUCUGAGACUGGAAGGCUUGAAUCCGGGAGAGGGAUGUGGAAUUCCAGGUGUAGCGGUGAAAUGCGUAGAUAUCUGGAGGAACACCGGUGGCGAAGGCGGCAUCCUGGACCGGUAUUGACGCUGAGGCGCGAAAGCCAGGGGAGCAAACGGG
rnacentral:rRNA from 1 species